GCCUAUAGCCAUACUAGUCUGAAAAUGCCCAAUCUCAUCUGAUCUUGGUAGUUAAGUAGACUCAGGCCUGGUUAGUACUCAGAUGGGUGACCACCUGGGAAUACCAGGCGCCGCAGGCU